rnacentral:tRNA from 1 species
ACUGAAAUAUCUCAGUUGGUAGAGCAUCAGACUAUAAAUCGAAAGGUCCUUGGUUCAAUCCCCUGUUCAAGCC